AAUGGCCGAAGGGGACCGAGGGUGGAGGAGCGGGCUUUCUCUCACAGCCAGCUUUUGUCGAGAGCGAAGGGGAGGCGGAUGGAACGCUCCGGGGAGUGGCCUUCAAAGCGCCGGGCUCGCGCAUUUCGCUUGGCCGGGAGGCGGCGCCAGGCUGCCCCGCCGCUCUCCCUUGGAAAGCCCGCGGCUUCGGGGCCUACCUCCGGAACUGAGGCCUUCGUGGGGGAGGCACCUAAAGCAGACUUUGGGGUGUUGGCAGUAGAUGAGACUCACUGAAGUAAAUUCACUGAAUGGGCCAUCGCUUCUGAGAAGGUGCUCUGUGGGCAGCUGGAGGAGCGUGGAGAUUACCUGAAUGCACAGACAGGUUCGUAAAGGGGAGCAGGUUUUCCUUCAGGCGCUUGGUUCCUACGCCAGUUCAGCUGAAAGAGUGGUUGGUUGUUUACAGAACUGAGAAAACACUUCACAUUGUCGGUUGGUGGUAAACCUUUAUAAUCCUAGCUGAUCUUCUGGAACACGUCUGGGUUUGGGGGGGUGGGGAAGGAACUUGUGGCUAACAUACUGAGAAUCAAAAGAAGUGGGUUGGUGUUGAUGACAUUGGAAUGAAAUAUCUGGAGAGCAGAGAGAGACCCCAGAGGGAAGGAAGUAAAAGACAGGAAGGGAGAUCUAUGGUUGUGUAACUUGGGUGUGAGUGUUAGAAGCUGGGACUUCAGAUGAGGUAGGAAGAAGACAGUUCAGAAUGUGGAAUGCAGGCGAUAGCAGCACUAUCUACUUUUAAGAUGCUACAAGUCUUUAUCUUUGCUCUAACUUCCAGGGGUGGUUUCAGAGAGGUUCCUGCACUGCAGGGUUUUUGAACUGGAGGGUCCCUUCCAGCUCCACUAUUUUAUUAAUGUGACUGCCCUUCUGGAAGAGCUUGCCAUCCACUAGCACCCGCAGAUUGUGUUCACGCAGAACGCUUCCCCUUCCCAGGAGCCGUACUUGUCGUCACCAGUGCAGGUUAGGAGCCUUGCUUGACACACAAAUCUUCACUGGGGAAAAAAUGGAGACGAACACUCCUCCCCUCCACAUGUCCUUCUUUAGUCUGUAGGGUGAUGUCCUACAAAUGUGGUUGUCCUCUAUCUCCCACCAUGGAGAGGGCACCACAUUAAUUUCCCCUCCAAUGCAGCAGUGUGCUUAAGGUAAAGGUAAAGGGACCCCUGACCGUUAGGUCCAGUCGUGACCGACUCUGGGGUUGCGGCGCUCAUCUCGCUUUACUGGCCGAGGGAGCCGGCGUCCAGCUUCCGGGUCAUGUGGCCAACAUGACUAAGCCGCUUCUGGCGAACCAGAGCAGCGCACGGAAACGCCGUGUGCUUAAAGGAUGUUAUUAAUUGCAAACCACCUUGAAUAUAUUAUUCGGGGUAAGACACAAUGGAUGGGGCCUGUAACAAGAAGCAGGUCUGAGUGGCUUGGAUGUGGUGGCAGGGGGCAGGAGGAGGACUUGGGGUAGGAAGGGGGAAACUGAAGUCCCAGGUGGAUGCAGUGUUUGUGGAGCCUUAAACACAGGAGCUGCUUUAGUUGGGGAGGUUGGGAUACAGGCAGGAAGCUUGCUUUCCUUUUAGCAGAGCGGAAAUAGCUAUAUCUGUGGUGCAGAAGGGGGUGGCAGCAUCUUGGAGGGAGCCUAGGGAACAGGUGGCCGUCAGUGAGUCUUUGUGAUGAUGUCAGGGCACUGAGUUGGUCGUAGACUUCCUUUCAGCCAGGCACCUCCCCUGCAUGCUGCCGCCCGCUAGGUGGCGCGGCUGCACCGCUUCGCCUCCAUGCUGUGCUCGCGGCCAUCCCAUCCAGAUUGGGAUUUGAGCCAGCGAAACCAGCGCUGGAAAUGGCUGCAAGGCCUUGGGCCGGCCUCAGCCCAAAGCAGGGGGCCGGGCUUCCUCCUUGCGAGAGUGACACAAGCACCUCCUUUCCUCUCCCAGGCUGCCUUCAUCUAGGCCGCUGGUAACUCCCCAGCUGGCACUGGGUCUGGGUGCCAGCUGUUUGGUAACGCGAGGCCGGCGGGGGCGUGUGGAGGCAUUCACAAACAGGGAGGAGGCUAAGCAAGCAAGUAGAUUCACAGGGCGGGGCCAGAGCUCUGGGGCUGCAGAGGACUUGCUGAAAGUCAGAAAAGAGGUUGUUAGGAAUGGGGAAUGUCCAUGUAAAUAAAUGUUAAUGGUUUUCAGAAAAACCCUGUUUGGCGUAACGUGUGCAUGUUAUGUAGGGAUAGUGGGGGGUUGUACAUGCUGUAAAAAAAAUGAAAUUGGCUGUUCAGCUCCGGAGGGUGAAUUCCAGUUCGCUGGACUAGCAAGGUUCUUCCCCCCUAACUCCCACUCCACCUAGAAAAAGCAAUGGCAUCAAAAGUAAGCUCUGUGAAGGGGGCAAUCCCAAUGGCCUGUUACGUGCUCUUUAAAUUAAAGAUAGCUCUCCCCAUUCCUGACUUACAGGUGAUUCCGCAAAGGCUGAAUGCUGUUUUCUUCCCUUGAGCAAACUCCCCCCCCCCCCCCGCUUCUCCAUGCAAACUCUUCCCUUCUCCUGAGGAGCCGAAUCUGAUUUGGGCUCAUAAAUACGAACGCCAUCUGGUUGUCACCGAAGUCUGAUGCCUUAAAGUGCCUCUGAUUACAUUUGCAUUUUAAUGAGCUGAUUGGAGCACGAGAGCCUUCUUCUGGGGCCCCCGCGGUGGCAAAGCCCACUUUGCAGUUGCCCCGCCCGUGUCGGAGUCUGUUUUUAUAAUCAAAUAUUGCGAAUAAAUUGCCUUUAAAAAGGAAAAAAACAACAACCUGA